UUUUUAUCUUGCAGAAAAUCUGCUCGGGUGCAUUGAUUGGAUUCCUCAACGUCAUAUGUCCAAUUCUCUGCUUGCUAUGAAAAAUCACUGCUUGGCACAACAGGAUAUAUUCAUGAAGUGACAUACGUAUUAUCUGUUGGUAAUACUACAGAAGAGCAGCCUGAGAAUCGAAUAUCUGAAGGAUCGCAUUUUUGACAAAAAGAAAGAAAAAGGAGGCAGUACACAAAGCCGUGCUUGUGUUUUCUUCAACCCAGUCCAUACUCAUUUCAGCUAGCCCAUGCGCACAUACAUUUUCCUGGCCCAAUGUUUGUCCUGGCCUAUACAGGCCCGACCCUUUUUUUUCCCUUGCAGCUCCAGCUCACGAGCUUCUCUUCUUUCCACACAUCCUCUCCAGCAGCCAUUCCCUGCUGCAUCGAGCACGGAAACAGCAUCCGCCUCCUGCUCUCUCUCUCUCUGCCUCUAUCUCCUGAGACCAAUUUCCCCUCCCUCUAUCUCCAACAAACUGCACCAAAUCCAUGCAAAAUCGGUUCCCAACCGGAUCCCCAUCCUAUCUCUAUCUGUUCCCCCUCAAAUCCCAACCGAAUUCGAUCUCUAUCUCCCCAUUGCAGCAGCCUAUAAAGAGGAGGUCUUGAUCUGUUGGAAGAGGAAGAAAAAUUAGAGGAGGGGGAAGGCUUGAACACCUUGGUGAGGCCCUAUCGCAUCCAAUUGCUGCCGCACGAAAUCGCCGCCGCAGCCGCGUACCGUGAACACAGAGCGCAAGCCGUCGUCGCCAUGAACACCAGCUGCAUCUCCACCGCUAUUGACUCGCAAGCUUCAUGUUGAGAAAGAAGAAAAGAAAGAAGAGAGGAAAGAAAGUUCAGUGGACUCAAUGUUGAUAGCUCAUGAAUUCUAUAUCGACGCCUUUCGAUGAUGCUUACCACAAAAGAAAGAAAGUCCCUACUGUUGCUUCAUGAGAUCUGUUGAGACCGACGAGGUCGAUGACGACAAAAACAUAAUUCUGAGGCCGACGAGGCCGAUGAUGACCCGGGAUCCAUAUACAGUCCCGAAGCUUCGGCUGGACUGCUUAUCCCGUCCUUUAUUACUUUUGAUUUCUAAUUCUGUCACUUUGCUUGGUCUGUUUUGCGUGUGACUACAACCUUGUAAACUCGGAGACGACCUGAAUACGACGACCGCCAGCAGCUUAAUCGAAGGUAGCCCGAAGACGGGUGUAAUUAACCGGAAGCGCUUCACGAAGCCCCGGGAACCAAAAGACAAAGGAAUCGCCGAAGUAAAGCAAAAAGUCAGAUAGCGUGUGCGUAUGGGUGUAAAACAACUGUAAUUGAAGAUGUACUUUAUGAAUUCUACACGAAUGAAUAAAGUUACGAUUCCAUUA